rnacentral:rRNA from 1 species
GAUGAACGCUAGCUACAGGCUUGACACAUGCAAGUCGAGGGGAAACGACAUCGGAAGCUUGCUUUUGAUGGGCGUCGACCGGCGCACGGGUGAGUAACGCGUAUCCAACCUGCCCACCACUUGGGAAUAACCUUGCGAAAGUAAGACUAAUACCCAAUGAUAUCCCACGAAGGCAUCCGAAUGGGAUUAAAGAUUUAUCGGUGAUGGAUGGGGAUGCGUCUGAUUAGCUUGUUGGCGGGGUAACGGCCCACCAAGGCAACGAUCAGUAGGGGUUCUGAGAGGAAGGUCCCCCACAUUGGAACUGAGACACGGUCCAAACUCCUACGGGAGGCAGCAGUGAGGAAUAUUGGUCAAUGGGCGAGAGCCUGAACCAGCCAAGUAGCGUGCAGGACGACGGCCCUAUGGGUUGUAAACUGCUUUAUAAGGAUAAAGUGGGUCUCGUGAGACUUUUUGCAUGUACCUUAUGAAUAAGGACCGGCUAAUUCCGUG